CGACUAAGAGGGGCAAUGAAAACCGCACCUGGGGCCUGUGCUGCCCACCCAGCCCCCUGCCUUUUUCCGUGACGGUCAUCCCAGGCCAGGGAGUGUCCUUCUAAGCUUUCCACAAUUUCUGGGAAAGCAGCCCGAUCCAAUGGAACCGAGGGUCUCUUCCUUCCCGCCUUGCCGGGCAGGUCCUAAACGUGCCCUUCCUCCCUUGCCCGACUGAUUCCUGCGGCUCUGGGGCCCAGAGAAGCACACGCCGCUCUCCGCUCUCCCCUCGGAGUUCUCCUCCCUCCGCUUUUAGCGGGGCCCCGAGUUCCCUGCCAGGGCCAUCGCCGCCCCUAGGACAGCGCGCAGGUCCCACUCACUUGAUCUGACCUUGCACCUGACACAAAGGCCAUCGCGGAGCACACGUGCCCCCUCCCCUGACACCUCCUAAAGGAAUGUUCCCGAGCAGAGGCCCCCUGAGGAUCUGCAGGGAGGGAGGAGGCCUGGAUCUGUGUCCCUCCUCUGUCCCCCACCCCCACUCCCCCGGUGACUUAGACGGUUGCUCAGGGAGAGGACACAAAGCUGUCUGCGAGAAUGCUGCUGUUGCCAGGAGGACAGGAAGCCGGAGAAUGAGCUGCCCUCACAAAGGGCGGGCAGGAGAAAGGCGGCUCUAAGCUGGACCACAAAGAAGGGGGGACGGUUUCCACGCCUUGCUAACACUGUGGGUGUGUGGCUCCCAUUAGUUGCUUCAACCGCAAAGUAUGAGAUCACUGGAAUAGGUUUUUAUUAGCUGCGGCUCUUAUUUUAACAUCUUUGUGGGUUCUUUAAUUCAGCCUCUCACGUGGGGUGCGGUGGGGGGAAUUGUUAUAUUAAAAACCAGGAAACAAAUUCCAGUUAUUGCUCUGACUUUGGCCCCCAGGUAUCCCAGCACCUAACUCUCCCGGCAGCAAUUGUUCACCAGCCUAAGUCCCACGGCGGAUGCGGAUGCGGGGAUGGGCAUGGUGAAUUAUUUAUUUUUGCCUCCCUGCAGUAACCAGUGUCUUGCACAGAGAGGAGCUCAGUGAAAUGUGUGCAACCGUAGGUUCGGAGCACCCUGCCAUGCUGGAUGCGGUGUAUAUGAACCCAAACAUCAGGCACCCCCCAUCCAGCCAGGCACCCCCACUGGCUAUACUCCAACCCCCCACUGCCCUUUCCUGCCUCUAGACCUUUGCUUAUGCUAUUCUUAACUGCCUGAAAGGAUCGCCCAGUCCUGGAGAUGGGGAGGUCGUGGACAGGUUUGGAAAGGAGCAAGCCGAGCAAUUUGGAUUUUCUUUAAUGAGCAAUGGGGAGUUGCUGAUGGUUUGUGAGCAGAAGAUACUUGGAUGGAUUCAAGGUAGAACCUGAUUAAGACCUUUAUAGACCCUAAGAACGCAUGCAGAUCAGGGCACUCCCAAACCUCCACCUUAUAGACCUCAAAAUGAAAAUAGUACCAAAUAGUGAAACACAAAACAUCAGAUAUACUGACAGUGAAAAAACUUGAGUCUACGUCUUCUGAAUGUAAAAUUCUGAAUGCAGAAAGAGGACUCUUCCCCACACCUUUUUCUGCCUUUCCUUUCUACCCAAAACUGCAGUGGUUUCAUCCUCUCAGAAGUUGAUAGAAUUCUAUAAGGCUUGAACGCAGAGAUCUAACAAAAUUCAGUGGCCAUUGCCCACCUGUGCAUGUUCUUCACACAAAAUUAGGUGAUGGUGCAGCAUAAUUGCUUCAGGAUAAAUCCUCUUGCUUUGGCUGCAGCCUCACAGAAGGCACUGGGAAUAGCCUCAGAGCACUGCUGUAGGAUAGCCAAGUGUCUAAAGUGUCUUUUCCUUGAAACCCUUAAAAGCCGAUGAACUCUCAAGAUAAUCUUGAUUUUGUCCUCCUAAGUUUGGUGGGCAAUGAUGAAAAUAGUUCGCGAACCACAAAAUACAAUCAUAUGCCAGCCUUCGAUUUCAGAAGGGUGAGAUUGCUAUUGUAACUGGUGAGCACUGGCACUGCAUGUAACCAAAUCCUUCAUUUUGCCUAAUUCUGGUUCAAAAGCAAAAGGGUGCUGAUUUCACGAGCGUCCUCCAGCCUUGAGCUGCUUUAACAAAUUAAACACGAAAAGGAGAUACCGUAAGGUGUCACUGAUAAAUAAAAAUCAAAACUAAAUCCACAAUCUGUCACCAUCAGGUCUCUCUAAAGCAGAGAAACCCUUUUUAAAAUAAAAGUCUUCAUCUUGUCGACCUCCAUGCUCUAAUGAAAUACAACUAUUUCUGUGUAGCUUGUUUCAAAUCCCAUGUUAAACAAAGAGAAGUUCCAUUAUCUUUCGGGCUUUAACAUCCCAGGAUAAAUUGGCUGUUCGUCUAUUAUUCACCCACCACUGUUGGAAAUUAAGUCUUUGUUACCGACAGGGGUAAAUCUGAGCUGGGCAGAUCAAUAGAAUUAUUUCUCUCCUCAGACAAUAGAAGUUAGGAAGAGAAUGAUUAGCAAUGUCUUCUUUUUUUUCUCUUUUCUUUUUUCUUUUUUUUUUUUUUAAUUCUGCCUUUCAUUAGCAGUUCAUGCUCCAGAAAAGGCCUUUUGAGUUGCUGAACAAAAGGCGGUUCCUAAGGUUCAACAGCUUCAUGUAUCAGGGAAAUUUUCUGCAACUCUGAAACCUAAGUACCUGGCAAAAAAUAAAUUAAUUAAUUUUAAAAAAACACAUAUUCUGUAUGCAGUCUGGUGUCAGAACCGUAGGAAAGCCUUCAUAAUUAACACUCUUUGAAUGUUAUAGGUCAAUGCUAAGUCCUGCGUUACUACGUGGAAGACCAUCAAUAGCCAUAAGGGCCGAAUAAAAAGAAGAAAGCACAGACUAAACAAAAUGCUUCGGCAAUAAGAAUAGCAGCUCUGCUCUCUGCAGACAGACUGCUCUGACUGGCUUCACGCUUUGGCCCCACGUGGUUUCUUUGGAAACUACUUGUCAUGAAAUUUUAUGAUCUGUUAAAAAAAAAAAAAA
rnacentral:lncRNA from 1 species